ensembl:lncRNA
AGCUAUGACUAACCCACUCUCCCAGCAUCACCGCUGGCUCCAGAUGGCAAGAAAUACAUUCCCUUCCCUAUUGCCUAAAAAGCAAUUCUGAUUUUUUUUUCUUUCGCCCAGUUUCACCUGCAGUAAUCUGUUGACUCCAGAAAGAAAACGCCUUGAGGUGAAAGGGAGAUCAAUGCGAAAGAGUACAGGUAGAAUUUACUUUUUGUUAAUGGAGUGUAAGCUACUGCAGCUUUAAAUCUUACUGCAUCAAGCCCUGGAUACCUUCCAUAACCAAGCUGCAAAAUGCUAACAAGAAAGGAGGAAAAAAAUACCUCUUCCUCCCUCCCGGUCAACCCUUCAGGCCGCUCUCCGGCCGGCCUGGCAGCGGCGAGCCCAUCCCCCCGCGCCCUCCCAGCCCAGACGUGCGACUGGUACAGAUGUUGCAGCAAGAGCACUGGCCUGCCAUGACCUACUACAUUCAACAUAGAAGAAUUCAGAAACUGUUUUGUAAUAUUUUUUCAAGAGAUUAAAAAUGUUGAGGCUGCUGUAUUUCCAGGAAAUCAGUUUGUAUUCAAGCACUCUUACACUCAAACCCAUGAAAGAAAGCCAAGAUCUUCUCUUUUUACCACGUCAUCUUCAGAAGGGGGGAGUUUUGAUAUCAUUUGUGGAACACACUGAGUCCUUGAGAACACACAAUGGGCUCCCCAACAAAGGAGGUGGCAGAUCCAGAGGAAGUGAAACUUUCUGUGGGGGAGAAAAAAAAUAAUAAAGUGGGUUAAAUCUU